AUUGAACGCUGGCGGCAGGCCUAACACAUGCAAGUCGAACGGUAACAGGAAACAGCUUGCUGUUUCGCUGACGAGUGGCGGACGGGUGUGUAAUGUCUGGGAAACUGCCUGAUGGAGGGGGAUAACUACUGGAAACGGUAGCUAAUACCGCAUAACGUCGCAAGACCAAAGAGGGGGACCGUCGGGCCUCUUGGCAUCGGAUGUGCCCAGAUGGGAUUAGCUAGUAGGUGGUGGAACGGCUCACCUAGGCGACGGUCCCUAGCUGGUCUGAGAGGAUGACCAGCCACACUGGAACUGGGCCACGGUCCAGACUCCUACGGGAGGCACCAGUGGGGAAUAUUGCACAAUGGGCGCAAGCCUGAUGCAGCCAUGCCGCGUGUAUGAAGAAGGCCUUCGGGUUGUAAAGUACUUUCAGCGGGGAGGAAGGGAGUAAAGUUAAUACCCUUACUAAUUGACGUUACCCGCAGAAGAAGCACCGGCUAACUCCGUG
rnacentral:rRNA from 1 species